rnacentral:rRNA from 1 species
GUGAAAAAGAACCUGAAACCGUGUACGUACAAGCAGUGGGAGCACGCUUAGGCGUGUGACUGCGUACCUUUUGUAUAAUGGGUCAGCGACUUAUAUUCUGUAGCAAGGUUAACCGAAUAGGGGAGCCGAAGGGAAACCGAGUCUUAACUGGGCGUUAAGUUGCAGGGUAUAGACCCGAAACCCGGUGAUCUAGCCAUGGGCAGGUUGAAGGUUGGGUAACACUAACUGGAGGACCGAACCGACUAAUGUUGAAAAAUUAGCGGAUGACUUGUGGCUGGGGGUGAAAGGCCAAUCAAACCGGGAGAUAGCUGGUUCUCCCCGAAAGCUAUUUAGGUAGCGCCUCGUGAAUUCAUCUCCGGGGGUAGAGCACUGUUUCGGCAAGGGGGUCAUCCCGACUUACCAACCCGAUGCAAACUGCGAAUACCGGAGAAUGUUAUCACGGGAGACACACGGCGGGUGCUAACGUCCGUCGUGAAGAGGGAAACAACCCAGACCGCCAGCUAAGGUCCCAAAGUCAUGGUUAAGUGGGAAACGAUGUGGGAAGGCCCAGACAGCCAGGAUGUUGGCUUAGAAGCAGCCAUCAUUUAAAGAAAGCGUAAUAGCUCACUGGUCGAGUCGGCCUGCGCGGAAGAUGUAACGGGGCUAAACCAUGCACCGAAGCUGCGGCAGCGACGCUUAUGCGUUGUUGGGUAGGGGAGCGUUCUGUAAGCCUGUGAAGGUGUACUGUGAGGUAUGCUGGAGGUAUCAGAAGUGCGAAUGCUGACAUAAGUAACGAUAAAGCGGGUGAAAAGCCCGCUCGCCGGAAGACCAAGGGUUCCUGUCCAACGUUAAUCGGGGCAGGGUGAGUCGACCCCUAAGGCGAGGCCGAAAGGCGUAGUCGAUGGGAAACAGGUUAAUAUUCCUGUACUUGGUGUUACUGCGAAGGGGGGACGGAGAAGGCUAUGUUGGCCGGGCGACGGUUGUCCCGGUUUAAGCGUGUAGGCUGGUUUUCCAGGCAAAUCCGGAAAAUCAAGGCUGAGGCGUGAUGACGAGGCACUACGGUGCUGAAGCAACAAAUGCCCUGCUUCCAGGAAAAGCCUCUAAGCAUCAGGUAACAUCAAAUCGUACCCCAAACCGACACAGGUGGUCAGGUAGAGAAUACCAAGGCGCUUGAGAGAACUCGGGUGAAGGAACUAGGCAAAAUGGUGCCGUAACUUCGGGAGAAGGCACGCUGAUAUGUAGGUGAAGUCCCUCGCGGAUGGAGCUGAAAUCAGUCGAAGAUACCAGCUGGCUGCAACUGUUUAUUAAAAACACAGCACUGUGCAAACACGAAAGUGGACGUAUACGGUGUGACGCCUGCCCGGUGCCGGAAGGUUAAUUGAUGGGGUUAGCGCAAGCGAAGCUCUUGAUCGAAGCCCCGGUAAACGGCGGCCGUAACUAUAACGGUCCUAAGGUAGCGAAAUUCCUUGUCGGGUAAGUUCCGACCUGCACGAAUGGCGUAAUGAUGGCCAGGCUGUCUCCACCCGAGACUCAGUGAAAUUGAACUCGCUGUGAAGAUGCAGUGUACCCGCGGCAAGACGGAAAGACCCCGUGAACCUUUACUAUAGCUUGACACUGAACAUUGAGCCUUGAUGUGUAGGAUAGGUGGGAGGCUUUGAAGUGUGGACGCCAGUCUGCAUGGAGCCGACCUUGAAAUACCACCCUUUAAUGUUUGAUGUUCUAACGUUGACCCGUAAUCCGGGUUGCGGACAGUGUCUGGUGGGUAGUUUGACUGGGGCGGUCUCCUCCUAAAGAGUAACGGAGGAGCACGAAGGUUGGCUAAUCCUGGUCGGACAUCAGGAGGUUAGUGCAAUGGCAUAAGCCAGCUUGACUGCGAGCGUGACGGCGCGAGCAGGUGCGAAAGCAGGUCAUAGUGAUCCGGUGGUUCUGAAUGGAAGGGCCAUCGCUCAACGGAUAAAAGGUACUCCGGGGAUAACAGGCUGAUACCGCCCAAGAGUUCAUAUCGACGGCGGUGUUUGGCACCUCGAUGUCGGCUCAUCACAUCCUGGGGCUGAAGUAGGUCCCAAGGGUAUGGCUGUUCGCCAUUUAAAGUGGUACGCGAGCUGGGUUUAGAACGUCGUGAGACAGUUCGGUCCCUAUCUGCCGUGGGCGCUGGAGAACUGAGGGGGGCUGCUCCUAGUACGAGAGGACCGGAGUGGACGCAUCACUGGUGUUCGGGUUGUCAUGCCAAUGGCACUGCCCGGUAGCUAAAUGCGGAAGAGAUAAGUGCUGAAAGCAUCUAAGCACGAAACUUGCCCCGAGAUGAGUUCUCCCUGACUCCUUGAGAGUCCUGAAGGAACGUUGAAGACGACGACGUUGAUAGGCCGGGUGUGUAAGCGCAGCGAUGCGUUGAGCUAACCGGUA